rnacentral:rRNA from 1 species
CCUACGGGGGGCAGCAGUAGGGAAUCUUUCACAAUGGGCGAAAGCCUGAUGGAGCAACGCCGCGUGCAGGAUGAAGGCCUUCGGGUUGUAAACUGCUUUUAUAAGCGAGAAAUAUGAUGGUAACUUAUGAAUAAGGAUCGGCUAACUACGUGCCAGCAGCCGCGGUCAUACGUAGGAUCCGAGCAUUAUCCGGAGUGACUGGGUGUAAAGAGUUGCGUAGGUGGCAUAAUAAGUAGCUAGUGAAAUCUGGUGGCUCAACCAUUCAGACUAUUAGCUAAACUGUUAAGCUCGAGACCGUUAGGGGUAACUGGAAGUUGUAGUGUAGGAGUGAAAUGCGUAGAUAUUAGAAGGAACACCAAUAGCGUAGGCAGGUUACUGGGACGGUUCUGACACUAAGGCACGAAAGCGUAGGGAGCAAACGGGAUUAGAUACCCCUGUAGUC